GUCGAGCGAUGAUUUUUUGGAAGAGAUGGUCUUCGUAAGGAGAUUGUCUUGGAUGAAUUAUCAGAGCGGCAGAUUGGUGAGUAACACGUGAGUAAUUUACCCUUAAGACGGGGAUAGCUUCGCGAAAGUGGAGGUAAUACCCGAUGUGUUUACAUGAACGCAGGUUUGUGUAAGUAAAGUUGCUUCGUAAGAGGUGAUGUUUAAGGAUGAGCUCGCGUCCUAUCAGCUAGUUGGUAGGGUAACGGCCUACCAAGGCUUUUGACGGGUAGCUGGCCUGAGAGGGUGGUCAGCCACAUGGGGACUGAGACACUGCCCCAACUCCUACGGGAGGCUGCAGUCGAGGAUAUUUAGCAAUGGGCGAAAGCCUGACUAUGUGACGCCGCGUGAGGGAUGAAGGUCUUCGGAUUGUAAACCUCUUUCGAUAGGGAAGAAAAUUCCGGUUAACUGCCGGAACUGACGGUACCUAUAGAAGAAGCCAUGGCUAACUCUGUGCCAGCAGCCGCGGUAAUACAGAGAUGGCGAGCGUUACUCGGAUUUAUUGGGUGUAAAGGGCAGGUAGGCGGCUAUGCAAGUUGGGGGUGAAAUCCUGUGGCUCAACCACAGAACUGCCUUCAAAACUGCAUGGCUUGAGGCUAGAAGAGGAGAGCGGAAUUCCCGGUGUAAGAGUGAAAUCUGUAGAUAUCGGGAGGAACACCAGUGGCGAAAGCGGCUCUCUAGUCUAGCCCUGACGCUAAGCUGCGAAAGCUAGGGGAGCAAACAGGAUUAGAUACCCUGGUAGUCCUAGCCGUAAACGAUGAGCACUAGGUGUUGGGGGUUUACCUUCAGCGCCGUAAGUUAACACGUUAAGUGCUCCACCUGGGGACUACGACCGCAGGGUUAAACUCAAGGAAUUGACGGGGCCCGCACAGCGGUGGAACAUGUGGUUCAUUCGACGCUACGCGAGAACCUCACC
rnacentral:rRNA from 1 species